rnacentral:misc_RNA from 1 species
GAUGAAGAACGUAGCGAAAUGCGAUAAGUAAUGUGAAUUGCAGAAUUCAGUGAAUCAUCGAAUCUUUGAACGCACAUUGCGCCCCCUGGUAUUCCGGGGGGCAUGCCUGUUCGAGCGUCAUUACAACCCUCAAGCUCUGCUUGGUAUUGGGCCCCGCCAGUUCUGGCGGGCCCUAAAGUCAGUGGCGGUGCCUCCGGCUCCGAGCGUAGUAAUUCUUCUCGCUCUGGAGACCCGGUUGUGUGCUUGCCAACAACCCCCAAUUUUUUAAGGUUGACCUCGGAUCAGGUAGGGAUACCAGCUGAACUUAAGCAUAUCAAUAAGCGGAGGA